GGCAAUUUAAGAAACAACACUAUUUCAUUUGAGAGAAAAUAUACUUUUAUUUACAUCUACACCUGCCUGACACGGGACAAUUUAAGAAGCAACACUGUUUCAUUUGAAAAAAAAAAUUACUUUUAUUUAUUGGGUGUGGGAUGGGGUACGGCACAGUACAUGGUUGGAGGUCAGAGAACAACCUGAGGGAGUCGGUUCUCUCCCUCCAUCAUGUGGGUUCCAGGAAUCAGGUUAUCUGCCAUGCAGCAGCUCCUUGAGCACAGAGUCAUCAUGCUAACCCCAGUCAGUUUAUAGGCUGACUUUUAUGUGAAACCAGCUCUGGAGGAAGUAGGGGUAGGGUCCUUAGUUAACUAGUUUUAUUUCUUUUUUUAAACAUUAAAGUGGAUACAUAAGUAACAGUACUAUGUAAGACCUCUGGUUGCCAUAUUCCUCUUACCCAGGGCUGUAGGGUAGACAGUUUGAUAGGUAGACAGUUGUUUAGGUACUAGAAUGAGGAGGGAAUCUGGCAACUGAAGUCAAGAGCAGAGCUUCAACCCAUGUGGGUUUGGUUUGGACCAGUGUUCCAUGCUCUAUAAGUCAAGGAAGAAACUGCAAUAAUCAGCACCCUAGGGCCCCCCUUUAUCUCUGCUUUUUUUAAAUCACGUUGUAAGAUCCACAGGAAGAAAUAGAUUUUGUUCAUGUUUAUAUUCUGACAAUUAACUGUUCUGUACUAAAAUAACAUAGAAUUGUAGUGAUAUAAUUCUAUAACCAUAGACAUAAAACUUUACAAAGCACAAAUAACAUAACGAACUCCCAUGUAGCCAUCCAUGAAUCCAUCUUCCUUAGAGAGGUUUUCCAUCUGUCAUUGUUUCAGAGAUCAGAUGAACUCUUGUGUCUUCCUUCUCAGUAGGUGAGUGACUAUAGAAUGUAUGGAUGCUAAGGGCACCACCUGCAGCCAUUGGUUCUUGACUAUUAUUUAUGGUACUAGUAAUAUUCAGAGACUCACAGAGUAUAACUUUACCCUUUGUUAACUAAAUGUGUCAACCUCCAGCCCUGGAGAAUUACCUGUUAAUUGUCCCUCCUGAAUGACACUUAUUUCUGAGUAGCAAAAAUAUAUUAUUCUUGGUUAAACAUUGUACUAAAUUGAAAUAACUUGUGUGUGUGUGUGUGUGUGUGUGUGUGUGUGUGUUGAGUGGUGGACAUGGUGGUGAUGAUGGUGGUGGUGGUGGCGGUGGUGGUAUUGGUGACUGAACUUACGGUCUCACACUUUUUUUUUUUUUAAAGAUUUUAUUUAUUUAUUUAUUUAUUUACUUAUUAUAUGUAAGUACACUGUCGCUGUCUUCAGACACUCCAGAAGAGGGAGUCAGAUUUCGUUACGGAUGGUUGUGAGCCACCAUGUGGUUGCUGGGAUUUGAACUCUGGACCUUCAGAAGAGCAGUCGGGUGCUCUUACCCACUGAGCCAUCUCACCAGCCCACGGUCUCACACAUUUUAAGUAAGUGUUCUGCUACAGAGCUAACAUUUCCAGCUAUUUAUUUUAAUUUGACAUAAGUUUUCACUAACUUGCCUAGACUAGCUUUGAAUUCCAGACCCUUGAAUUCUCAGUCCCUUGAAGGGCUAGAAUCACUUAAAUAUCACAUAAGCCUUGUGAACUGACAAGUUGGAAUAUUUUGAGUUGACUUAGUGUGAGGUUAAUAUAUAUACACCUUUGAAAGUCUGAAGAGCAAAUUAAACUCAAUGAAUUCAUUUCAGGAGUUACUUUUUAAUUUAUUUACAUUUAUUUGUUUGGGGAGAGAAAGAGAGAGAGAGAGAGAGAGAGAGAGAGAGAGAGAGAGAGAGUGUGUGUGUGUGUGUGUGUGUGUGUGUGUGUGUGUGUGUGUGUGUGUGAAAAUCAGAGGACAGCUUGUACUUUAUACCUUAUGGGUUCUGGGCAUUGAACUCAGGUCAUCAUCUUGCCAGCCCAGUAAACUAUUUUUUGGCAUCUGUAUUUUCUUCUAAGCUUUUGUGAUGCUGGGAACUGAACCCAGGGCUUCAUGCUAGGCAAAAUGCCCUAUCACUGAUUGAGCUUUGUAUUUUUUAAAUAAUAAUAAUAAGCCUCCUGCCUUUUAUGUUUCUUGAAAUAAAAUCUCCUAGCCUAGGCUACUCUUGAACUCACUAUGUAGCUCAAGCUUCUUCAACUUGAAACUCUCCUGCCUUAGUCUCCUGAAUAAUGGGAUUGCAUGAGUGUAUGGCACCAUGCCUGGCUUUCACUGUUUGCUUGUUUUGAGACAGGGUCUUACAUUGUAGCCCUGGCUGGCCUGGAACUCUUAGCAGUCCUGCUUCAGCCUCCCGAGUGCUGGGGUUAUAGUUGUGAAUCAUCAUGACAAUCUUACAGUUCCCCUGUCCCCUUAUAUUUUAAACUCAGCUAUGUCUUAAGAUUUGGUUUAAAAUGUCUUAAAGUGGACACAUGCUAAAAUCUCUUAGUUAAAAGCUAUUCACUGGAUUUAUAUACAUUGGGUAGUUUUUACACUUGCCCUUUGUGCCACGGGAUGUACUUGAGUACACAUUCUUGGAAAAACAGGAGCCUAAUACUGGUGUGAAUGGGAUUUUAAAAUAUUUAACAUGAGUUAAGGAGAUCCCAUUUGUUAUUUUAAAAAUAACACUUUGGUUCCUUUUUCUAACAUGUAUUGUGGUAAUUUUCAUUCUUCCAGCUGUUUAAAGUAACCAUACCAAAUGAGGGUUUAGUAUUGUCUUAAACAUAAAAUGUAUAGAUUUUCAGUUUGCAACACAACAGUAGGCAUUCUUGUAAUGUUAGUUUGAGAAUCCAUUUUAUUUUGUAUAAGGUACAUCCUCUGCACAGUGAACAAAUAUAUUACAAAUCUGUGGUUUAAAAAAGUAUUGCCAUUUCAUAGUCUCUCACACUAUUGUACAGUAUCUGUGUUUUCUUUGUCUGACUUGUAUACAUAUUAAUUUACUGGAUUGAAAUUUUUGUUUUGAAAAAUAAUUGAGCAGAUCUUUCCAAAUUGACUAUAGAAUGCACAGCGCACAUGUUGAGGCUGACCGCAAACCUGUUUGUGAUUGUUAGACAGAAGUUCCUAACAGUUGCUCUGCAUGAUCGAAAUGUCCUAGUGCUAACUCUUAGCUAUGUGAAGGCUGCUGCUGUCACCAUACUUAAUCACAUCUUUGCCCUUUCCCUUCUCUGUAUAGCCUGACUGAACUAUGUUACUUGAAAUGUUGUAGAGUGCUACACUUGGAGAGUUGUUAGAGCUCUGCUCCCACUCUGUGUCUCUCUUCUUUCAUGUGUGGGUAAUAAAGGAGCCCGAAGAGGGCAAGUGACUC
rnacentral:lncRNA from 1 species